UAAGUAAGUGGUGGAAAUUAAACCAAAUGGGAUAUCUUUAGUAAUUGCGAAUGAACAAGGAUAUGCUUAGCUUGACAAAUGGAGCUAUUGGCUUUGAAUUGUAUUGUGGAAAUGUAUUACCAACAGAGGUGCAGGUGCCAGCCUAUUGAAAUAAAGCGUCAAUGAGGGUGAGAAUCCUGUUUGUCAUGUGCAGCCCUUUGUGCACGGUGUAUAUUUGCUGAGUCACACUCCUUGGCAUUGGAAUGCAAAGUGGGUGGUAAGUUUCAUGUAAAGGUAAACAUGCAAUUGAGACUGAUAGCACACAAGUACCAUGAGGGAAAUAUGAAAAGGACUUUGAAAAGAGAAUUAAAUGAGUUUGUAUUUGCUGAACACAAAGUAAACAGACUUGAUUUGCUUGGUGGGAGUGUUGCACUUGCUUGACAAGAGCUUUGGGCUGUGGGUGUAAUGAUUAUUUCUUUGCAUGCCAGUUUCUAUUUGUACAUCUGAUUACCUUUGCACAUGAAUGAUAAGUCUCCUGUGGGGGGUGGAUUGCAUGUGCAUGUAAUGAUUUGUGUUUUGAUAAAUGUGUCUGGUGUAUGUGUGUGUUCCUGUGCUUGGGGAUGCUUCCUUCCUUGGACUUACAAGCCCUGACACACACAUGCUGGCAAAAUGCUUCUGCUUGACCCG
rnacentral:rRNA from 1 species